UAGUAACGGCGAGUGAAGCGGGAAGAGCUCAAGCUUAAAAUCUCCGUGCAAGUUUUGUGCGGCGAAUUGUAGUCUAUAGAAGCGUGGUCAGCAUGGGCACUUGGGGCAAGUUCCUUGGAAGAGGACAGCAUGGAGGGUGAUACUCCCGUUCAUUUCUGAGUUGCUCGUGCGUACGACCCGUUUUCUUUGAGUCGCGUUGUUUGGGAAUGCAGCGCAAAGUAGGUGGUAAAUUCCAUCUAAAGCUAAAUAUUGGUGCGAGACCGAUAGCGAACAAGUACCGUGAGGGAAAGAUGAAAAGAACUUUGAAAAGAGAGUUAAAGAGUACCUGAAACUGCUGAAAGGGAACCGAAUCGUUUCCAGUGUCUAUAAUCCGUGGUAUAUUUCAUUGGCGAGUGUGUGCGUGCGUGUGCUGUGGCAGCGGCUUUUUUGGCUGCGCUCGGCGUGUGUGCUGUGUGUGCUUGCUGGUGCUCUGUGCUGCGGUGGGACGUCAAGGUCAGUUCGUAUGCUGCGGGAAAUGGCUGCCGAGGAGGUAGGGCUUACGCUUGCGUUUGUCUGUUAUAUCUUGGUGGACGAGUAGUCGCGGUUGGGACUGAGGUGCCUACAACGUGCUUUUGAGUGGGUUUGUGUCUCCGUGUGCGCCGUGUGCGGAUAGCUUGCUAUGCGUGUGUGGUUGUGUGUGGAUUGAUGCGAGCUUUAACUUGUUGCCGUUCGGGACGUUGACGAAAUGGAGCGAUUCGACCCGUCUUGAAACACGGACCAAGGAGUCUAACAUGUGUGCAAGUGUUAGGGUGUGGAAACCCCAGCGCGAAAUGAAAGUGAAGGGCAGCGUAAGUUGUCUGAGGUAGGAAAUGCUGCGGGCUUCGGUCUGCGGUGUGGCACUAUCGACCGAUCAUGAACCUUCGUGGUGAAAGAUUUGAGUUUGAGCACAUAUGUUGGUACCCGAAAGAUGGUGAACUAUGCCUGAGUAGGGUGAAGCCAGGGGAAACUCUGGUGGAAGCUCGUAGCGAUUCUGACGUGCAAAUCGAUCGUCAAACUUGGGUAUA
rnacentral:rRNA from 1 species